GCGCCUGUAGCUCAGCAGGAUAGAGCGUCCGCCUCCUAAGCGGAAGGCCAGCGGUUCGAAUCCGCUCAGGCGUGCCA
rnacentral:tRNA from 1 species